GAUGAACGCUGGCGGCGUGCUUAACACAUGCAAGUCGAACGAAGCACUUUAUUUGAUUUCUUCGGAAUGAAGAUUUUGUGACUGAGUGGCGGACGGGUGAGUAACGCGUGGGUAACCUGCCUCAUACAGGGGGAUAACAGUUGGAAACGACUGCUAAUACCGCAUAAGCGCACAGGGUCGCAUGACCUGGUGUGAAAAACUCCGGUGGUAUGAGAUGGACCCGCGUCUGAUUAGCCAGUUGGUGGGGUAACGGCCUACCAAAGCGACGAUCAGUAGCCGACCUGAGAGGGUGACCGGCCACAUUGGGACUGAGACACGGCCCAAACUCCUACGGGAGGCAGCAGUGGGGAAUAUUGCACAAUGGGGGAAACCCUGAUGCAGCGACGCCGCGUGAGCGAAGAAGUAUUUCGGUAUGUAAAGCUCUAUCAGCAGGGAAGAAGAAAUGACGGUACCUGACUAAGAAGCAC
rnacentral:rRNA from 1 species